GUUUGGCAGAUUUAAUGCGUUAAUUUUAGAAGUUAAUCAGGUUGGUUACAACA
rnacentral:tRNA from 1 species